GGGUUAGGUAGGGUUCACAUUGUGUUAGAUAGGGUUAGGUAGGGUUAGAUAGGGUUAGGUAGGGUUCACAUUGUGUUAGGUAGGGUUAGGUAGGGUUAGGUAGGGUUCACAGUGUGUUAGGUAGGGUUAGGUAGGGUUCACAUUGUGUUA